UACAGAGGUCCCAAGCGUUGUUCGGAAUCACUGGGCGUAAAGGGUGCGUAGGCGGGUCUUUAAGUCAGGGGUGAAAUCCUGGAGCUCAACUCCAGAACUGCCUUUGAUACUGAAGAUCUUGAGUUCGGGAGAGGUGAGUGGAACUGCGAGUGUAGAGGUGAAAUUCGUAGAUAUUCGCAAGAACACCAGUGGCGAAGGCGGCUCACUGGCCCGUUACUGACGCUGAGGCACGAAAGCGUGGGGAGCAAACAGG
rnacentral:rRNA from 1 species